UACAGAGGGUGCGAGCGUUAAUCGGAAUUACUGGGCGUAAAGCGCACGUAGGUGGCGACGUAAGUCGGGUGUGAAAGCCCCGGGCUCAACCUGGGAAUUGCAUUCGAGACUGCAUUGCUGGAGUACGGAAGAGGAGGGCGGAAUUCCCGGUGUAGCGGUGAAAUGCGUAGAUAUCAGGAGGAACACCGGUGGCGAAGGCGGGUCUCUGGACAGUUCCUGACACUGAGACACGAAGGCCAGGGGAGCAAACGGG
rnacentral:rRNA from 1 species